rnacentral:rRNA from 1 species
UACGGGGGGGAGCAAGCGUUGUUCGGAUUUACUGGGCGUAAAGCGCACGUAGGCGGAUCGAUCAGUCAGGGGUGAAAUCCCAGGGCUCAACCCUGGAACUGCCUUUGAUACUGUCGAUCUGGAGUAUGGAAGAGGUGAGUGGAAUUCCGAGUGUAGAGGUGAAAUUCGUAGAUAUUCGGAGGAACACCAGUGGCGAAGGCGGCUCACUGGGACGUUACUGACGCUGAGACGCGAAAGCGUGGGGAGCAAACAGG